rfam:Rhodobacteraceae bacterium HLTCCO07 ITZY_scaf_70, whole genome shotgun sequence.
AUUCCCCCACAACGGCUUCCUGGCGUGGCGGGCAAACAACCAAUGGAGCA